CGGCGUGCUUAAUACAUGCAAGUCGAACGAGGUCCAUCCGAUCUUCGGAUUGGUGAAGACCUAGUGGCGAACGGGUGCGUAACACGUGAGAAACCUGCCCCGGUCUCUGGAAUAACAGUUGGAAACGGCUGCUAAUACCGGAUGCCGUCGGACCAUCGCAUGGUGGACCGACGAAAGGGUUACCGGACCGGGAGGGUCUCGCGGCCUAUCAGCUUGUUGGUGAGGUAACGGCUCACCAAGGCAUCGACGGGUAGCUGGUCUGAGAGGAUGAUCAGCCACACUGGGACUGAGACACGGCCCAGACUCCUACGGGAGGCAGCAGUAGGGAAUAUUGCACAAUGGGCGAAAGCCUGAUGCAGCAACGCCGCGUGCGGGAAGAAGGCCCUAGGGUUGUAAACCGCUUUCAGCAGGGAAGAAAAUGACGGUACCUGCAGAAGAAGGUGCGGCCAA
rnacentral:rRNA from 1 species